CCAAUCGAGCCCGGAGAUAGCUGGUUCUCCCCGAAAUAGCUUUAGGGCUAGCCUCAAGGUGAGAGAUACGGAGGUAGAGCACUGAAUGUCCUAGGGGGUAUUGCCCCUACCGAAGACUAUCAAACUCCGAAUGCCGUCAUCUUAUACUUGGGAGUCAGACUGUGGGUGAUAAGAUUCAUAGUCGAAAGGGCAACAGCCCAGAUCGUCAGCUAAGG
rnacentral:rRNA from 1 species